rnacentral:rRNA from 1 species
UACGGAGGGUGCAAGCGUUGUUCGGAAUCACUGGGCGUAAAGCGCGUGUAGGUGGUCUUUUAAGUCUGGUGUGAAAGCCCGGGGCUUACCCCCGGAAGGGCACUGGAGACUGGGAGACUAGAGUACCGGAGAGGAAGGUGGAAUUCCUGGUGUAGCUGUGAAAUGCGUAGAUAUCAGGAGGAACACCGGUGGCGAAGGCGGCCUUCUGGACGGCUACUGACACUGAGACGCGAAAGCGUGGGGAGCAAACAGG